UCCACCACCCGAACCGACUCCGUGAUCGAGAAUCCACCAAGCACCAACCACCCUCUCUCUUAUCUCUUAUAUACGCGUUCCCCUCGCCUUGUUCUCUCCUGCUCCCGUCACCGCCCGUCGCAGGGACGGCUCAUCUUGGUUCCGUCGCGCGGAUCGUGAGUGGUGGACGAUUCGCCUUCCCAAAUACACGUCUAAGCGAAGGGAUUUUGUGGCCUUUUGCUUGUGACGUCUGAAUCGGUUGAUGCCUCAGAUCCGUCAGUUUAUGUCAUCUGCUUCAUGUUAGCAUGCCGCUGUGGAUGUGAUGUUUAUCUCCGGGGAACGCCACUCCUGCUGGUUCACAACGGGCCACGGCCAACGCCAACUGAUAUCUUCUCCAACGACGGUCGGUGGUUAAGUUAAAGAAUGCUUUCUUGAGGCUUCCUCGUCUCUUAUCAAAUGAUGUCCGUGUUGCUUUUUGCUCACAAGAUGAUGCUGGCCCGUCUCCAAACAUCACAGAAAGGUAAUUGUGUUGGUAAGCUGAUGAUGCGCAUGUGGGCACAGUGCGUAUUGUACUACUUGAUGUACCAGUACAUUGGUAGGGUAGGACGGCCUUUGCCAUGUUGGGUGCGCUCGCUUGGCAGGCCACGAGACAAUAAGAAGUAUAUUUGGUGUUGUUUGCGGGGUGGAGAUCGCACGGGAACAAUCUAUUUGAUCUAUUUUGCCCGGGUUCUCCACCCUGCCAUGGUGUCUCUGUCCUUCUCCUGUGUUUGAUUCCAUGGCAUCAUCUGAAGUACACCACGAUCCUAUACAUAGCAAAUAUGUGGA